GUGUUCACUUCAGCAGCACAUAUACUAAAAUUGGAACGAUACAGAGAUUAGCAUGGCCUUGUGCAAAGAAAACACUCAAAUUCAUAAAAAGAAAAUGGAAGUUU